rnacentral:rRNA from 1 species
AAAUUGAAGAGUUUGAUCAUGGCUCAGAUUGAACGCUGGCGGCAGGCCUAACACAUGCAAGUCGAACGGUAACAGGAAACAGCUUGCUGUUUCGCUGACGAGUGGCGGACGGGUGAGUAAUGUCUGGGAAACUGCCCGAUGGAGGGGGAUAACUACUGGAAACGGUAGCUAAUACCGCAUAACGUCGCAAGACCAAAGAGGGGGACCUUCGGGCCUCUUGCUAUCGGAUGUGCCCAGAUGGGAUUAGCUAGUAGGUGGGGUAACGGCUCACCUAGGCGACGAUCCCUAGCUGGUCUGAGAGGAUGACCAGCCACACUGGAACUGAGACACGGUCCAGACUCCUACGGGAGGCAGCAGUGGGGAAUAUUGCACAAUGGGCGCAAGCCUGAUGCAGCCAUGCCGCGUGUAUGAAGAAGGCCUUCGGGUUGUAAAGUACUUUCAGCGGGGAGGAAGGGAGUAAAGUUAAUACCUUUACUCA